rnacentral:rRNA from 1 species
UACGAAGGGGGCUAGCGUUGUUCGGAAUCACUGGGCGUAAAGCGCACGUAGGCGGAUUUUUAAGUCAGGGGUGAAAUCCCGAGGCUCAACCUCGGAACUGCCUUUGAUACUGGAGAUCUUGAGUCCGGAAGAGGUAAGUGGAACUGCGAGUGUAGAGGUGAAAUUCGUAGAUAUUCGCAAGAACACCAGUGGCGAAGGCGGCUUACUGGUCCGGAACUGACGCUGAGGUGCGAAAAGCGUGGGGAGCAAACAGGGAUUAAGA